CCUACGGGUGGCAGCAGUGGGGGAUAUUGCACAAUGGGGGGAACCCUGAUGCAGCGACGCCGCGUGGGUGAAGAAGCGCCUCGGCGCGUAAAGCCCUGUCAGCAGGGAAGAAAAUGACGGUACCUGAAGAAGAAGCCCCGGCUAACUACGUGCCAGCAGCCGCGGUAAUACGUAGGGGGCAAGCGUUAUCCGGAUUUACUGGGUGUAAAGGGGGCGCAGACGGCGAUGCAAGCCAGGAGUGAAAGCCCGGGGCCCAACCCCGGGACUGCUCUUGGAACUGCGUGGCUGGAGUGCAGGAGGGGCAGGGGGAAUGCGUGGGGGAGCGGUGAAAUGCGUAGAGAGCAGGAGGAAGACCGGUGGCGAAGGGGGCCUGCUGGACUGAAACGGACGUUGAGGCCCGAAAGCGUGGGGAGCAAACAGGAUUAGAUACCCUUGGAGUC
rnacentral:rRNA from 1 species